rnacentral:rRNA from 1 species
AGAGUUUGAUCAUGGCUCAGAACGAACGCUGGCGGCAUGCCUAACACAUGCAAGUCGAACGAGACCUUCGGGUCUAGUGGCGCACGGGUGCGUAACGCGUGGGAAUCUGCCCUUCGGUUCGGAAUAACUCAGGGAAACUUGAGCUAAUACCGGAUAAUGACGUAAGUCCAAAGAUUUAUCGCCGAAGGAUGAGCCCGCGUAGGAUUAGCUUGUUGGUGGGGUAAUGGCCCACCAAGGCGACGAUCCUUAGCUGGUCUGAGAGGAUGAUCAGCCACACUGGGACUGAGACACGGCCCAGACUCCUACGGGAGGCAGCAGUGGGGAAUAUUGGACAAUGGGCGAAAGCCUGAUCCAGCAAUGCCGCGUGAGUGAUGAAGGCCUUAGGGUUGUAAAGCUCUUUUACCCGGGAUGAUAAUGACAGUACCGGGAGAAUAAGCUCCGGCUAACUCCGUG